rnacentral:rRNA from 1 species
CCUACGGGAGGCAGCAGUGAGGAAUAUUGGUCAAUGGGCGCGAGCCUGAACCAGCCAAGUCGCGUGAGGGAAGACGGUCCGAUGGAGUGUAAACCUCUUGUGUCGGGGAGAAAAAGACGGCACGCGUGGCGUUCCGAGAGUACCCGAAGAAAAAGCAUCGGCUAACUCCGUGCCAGCAGCCUCGGUAAUACGGAGGAUGCGAGCGUUAUCCGGAUUUAUUGGGUUUAAAGGGUGCGCAGGCGGAAGGUCAAGUCAGCGGUAAAAUUGAGAGGCUCAACCUCGGCGAGCCGGUGAAACUGGUUUUCUUGAGUGCGUGAGAAGUAUGCGGAAUGCGUGGUGUCGCGGU